UAGCACCAUGGAAUUCAGCUG
rnacentral:miRNA from 1 species